UGUCAGAGCAUGUGCCUGCUGUAUUAAUAGCACCCAGGAGGCACAGGACGGGACUAAGGAAGCUGGCAGGAAUACCUCUGGCGGUCUUAACUGUUUGUGUGCACGCCUGAGGCUGGCAGUAGGGCAUACAAGCUUAUCCAGGGAGAUUUUGGUGCAAUAAGCUGUCAAUUCAGUGACUUGCAUCAACUUAAAAAAGCAAGAGGGCUUUAAGCGUUGACUUUGUGUGCAUGGGUUCACACCUCUGUCACGCACACAGGUGAGGCGGAUGCAGAUACUGUGUGCAGUGGGGCAGGCGACUGGUGUGGACGUGCUGUCGUGCCCCACCACAGCGGCUGCCAGGGAUGUCUACACGACGCGGGAGGUGGCGUAACGGUGUACAUUCAUUCCUGAGCGUCAGUAACCAGGAACAGGCCAGGCCUCUGAAACGAAAUAUCCCUUUAACAGCACAGAGCUUCUGCUGCCAGUUUCAUGCAGAACCACGGGACGGUGAUGCUCACGGUUGCCCUCCGACUGUUGAGAUUGAUGAGGUCUCCUCUGCGUGUGUGUACUCAGCCAGCGCCCGGCUGGCCGGUGUGUGGUG
ensembl:lncRNA